UCGCUGCUACCGAUUGAGUGAUCCGGUGAAUAAUUCGGACUGCAAAGAACCAGCUGGUCCUUUGUGGGAAGUUUAGUGAACCUUAUCACUUAGAGGAAGCAA
rnacentral:rRNA from 1 species